AUAUAACAAUCAUAAGAUAAAAACAAGAGAAGAACUUAGGAUAAAACUUGAUUUCAUAAGAUCUAAGAAUGGCCAAAUGGAGUGCGAUCGUUUUAAUAAUGAUGACGGUGGUUGCUAUUGCGGUCACAGCAGAGGCAAAAUAUGACAGAAACGAGUGGCUUAAAUGUUUUCGCAAAUGUUCUAAACCUUGCAAGACUCACGAUGGUAAUUGUUUUGAACGUUGUAAAGUUCAAUGCGGUGGCCCAAACCCUCCUCAUGGUCCAGGAGGACCCCUUCCUCCCCCUAGUUCUCCUCGAACUUUACAUGGGAUGACAUCUGCGGAAGUUCGCGAAGGGAAAGAAAGAUAAAAAAAUACAUAGAAAGUUUGUGAUCAUGUCUGCAGUCUUAACUUCUUGUUAAAAUUGAAUAAAUGUAGUGAUAAUAAUAUAAUUAUUUCUAA